UGAAACGACUGCUAAGACUGGAUAGGAGACAAGAGGGCAUCUUCUUGUUUUUAAAAGACCUAGCAAUAGGUAUGCUUAGGGAGGAGCUUGCGUCACAUUAGUUAGUUGGUGGGGUAAAGGCCUACCAAGACUAUGAUGUGUAGCCGGGCUGAGAGGUUGAACGGCCACAUUGGGACUGAGACACGGCCCAAACUCCUACGGGAGGCAGCAGUAGGGAAUUUUCGGCAAUGGAGGAAACUCUGACCGAGCAACGCCGCGUGAACGAUGAAGUAUUUCGGUACGUAAAGUUCUUUUAUUAGGGAAGAAUAAAUGAUGGAAAAAUCAUUCUGACGGUACCUAAUGAAUAAGCCCCGGCUAACUAUGUGCCAGCAGCCGCGGUAAUACAUAGGGGGCAAGCGUUAUCCGGAAUUAUUGGGCGUAAAGGGUGCGUAGGCGGUUAAAUAAGUUUAUGGUCUAAGUGCAAUGCUCAACAUUGUGAUGCUAUAAAAACUGUUUAGCUAGAGUAAGAUAGAGGCAAGUGGAAUUCCAUGUGUAGUGGUAAAAUGCGUAAAUAUAUGGAGGAACACCAGUAGCGAAGGCGGCUUGCUGGGUCUUUACUGACGCUGAGGCACGAAAGCGUGGGGAGCAAACAGGAUUAGAUACCCUGGUAGUCCACGCCGUAAACGAUGAGUACUAAACGUUGGGUAAAACCAGUGUUGAAGUUAACACAUUAAGUACUCCGCCUGAGUAGUACGUACGCAAGUAUGAAACUUAAAGGAAUUGACGGGACUCCGCACAAGCGGUGGAUCAUGUUGUUUAAUUCGAAGGUACCCGAAAAACCUCACCAGGUCUUGACAUGCUUCUGCAAAGCUGUAGAAACACAGUGGAGGUUAUCAGUUGCACAGGUGGUGCAUGGUUGUCGUCAGCUCGUGUCGUGAGAUGUUGGGUUAAGUCCCGCAACGAGCGCAACCCUUAUUGUUAGUUACCAGCACGUAAUGGUGGGGACUUUAKCAAGACUGCCAGUGAUAAAUUGGAGGAAGGUGGGGACGACGUCAAAUCAUCAUGCCCCUUAUGACCUGGGCUACAAACGUGAUACAAUGGCUGUUACAAAGGGUAGCUGAAGCGCAAGUUUUUGGCGAAUCUCAAAAAAACAGUCUCAGUUCGGAUUGAAGUCUGCAACUCGACUUCAUGAAGUUGGAAUCGCUAGUAAUCGCGAAUCAGCAUGUCGCGGUGAAUACGUUCUCGGGGUU
rnacentral:rRNA from 1 species